CUCUGAUGCUGUUCUGCAUCCCUUCUGCCAUCAACUAAACAACUUUGCUCUACCAUGCCUUUCACCAUGAUGUUUCUGCCUUCGAGCCAGCCCAGCAUGGACUGAAUCCCCUUAAAUUGUGAGCCAGUUAAACCUCUCUGGCUUUAUGUUUUGGGCAUCAGCAGUUACUCUGAAAGAUAUUGAGAUGAGUCACACUGCUAUUUUCUACAUAUCCAGCAAGGACUCCAUGUUCAACACAGGAAAGCUGGAAGAUAGUUUAAAAUCACAAGACCUGAAUUCAAGGCAAGGUCCCUACCUGGGUCAUCUGGCUGCAGCAGUGACAAGUGCCUUGCUAAUCUGGUGAUGGUGAGCAAUUUAAAUCACCUCUCAGCAUCCCGGUUUCCUCGCAUGAAGAAAUAAGAUAAUAAUCUUUCACUCACAGGGUUGCCACAGAGAUUGAAUUGAAACAGAACAUGGGAGAGCUCUCUGGAAAACUAUAAAGCAUAUGCAAUCGUCAUUCUAGAAAUUCCUCUGCUUCUCUGUGGUAUCACCUCAUUUAACCAGCAGGUUUAGCCAGUGCCUAGGACUGAAAGUUCAUGAAUAUGGACCUUGAAAAACUAAAAGAAAACAGCUGAGUUUAAGUGAUCUAAACCAAUGUGUACUGCUGACCAGUGGCACACAAAACACCCAACAACAAUUAAGCCUCUUAGCAACUAUCUCACCAUUUGAAGUAAACUCAAAGAAGUAAAGCAGCUUGCCAGACAGCAAAUGAACAGAGCUGUUAAUCAUGUACAGAGUAGCUAGUCUCCUCCAUACUAAGCUCCCUUAAGAGGAGAGAGGGGCAGAGGAAAGCAAUAGCAAGGAGAUCCGACAUAGCUGGGAGGAGAGGAGGCCCAGGAGGAUGACGCCGUCCCUGCCGAUGACAAGAGACACUGGUGCAAUUUACUAAGGAAAGGAACACCAUGGAGCCAAACUUGUGGGAAGAAGACCCCGACUUGGCUUCUGAACAUUCCUUUGUGAUGUUCAGAUAGUGCUCUCAGGUAAAGAGAAGAAUUAGAGGAACUGACAGAAGUCGAGCUGGAGAGACACAACACUCUGUACAGACAAAGCCCAAAAAGCAAUCAGAUCUGACUUGCUCUAGUUUAUCCAUACAUGUGCCUGUAAGAAUCAACAACAACCAAAGACGGGAAACAACUGAAGCUGUACCACUGCGUCCCUUGGUAUUUGCGAUGCCAUCUGAACAGAUUUUUAAUGGUUUUCCAAAGAUGACUUGGCACCUCCCCAGGAAUACUGAAUCAUAAUCACAAGGGGAAACAGAGGAGAAAUGGUCUAUGUUUUUAAAUAAGCCACCCAGAUGAUUCUGAUGCAGGACCAACUUUGAGAAUAUCUGCUCUGGACCACGGUGCCCUGCACAACCACCUGGAGGGAAAGUACAAUGGGACCCAGCUUUCAGGCUACAUCCAGCAUCGAGAGCUGUGAUCCUAGAAACCCGCGUACGUAGUUGUACUCUCUCGUGACACUGACCCCAAACAACAUUAAAACAAUUAA